UAAGAGCUUUUCUUAGACUCAAAUCGCUUACAGAAGCAUCAAAUCCACAAUAAAGAAACAAAUGAAAAUGUGUCGGGGAUCUCAAAAAGUUUAUAUAUAGUAUAUUAGAUUUUAUGGAGAUGCACUCCCACUACAGAAUCAUCACGAUUUAUCUAGCAUUAUAAAUUAUGUCCAAGUACAGAUAUUAAGUCAUUUAAGUCGUUUAUUUUGAUAACUGUGAACAAAUUCUACAAUGGAUUUUUAUUAUUGUUAACUAUUGUAUAAAUAACCUAUGAAUCCUCACUUUUGAAGUCUUUCCGAUAUUUCUUUGUAAAACGUGAACAAGGAAAGAAGUAGAGAAGAUUAGAUGGACAUUGUCGCUUAUGCUUGGUGAAACUUUGUAUUAGGCUACUUUCUCUUUCACUUGGGUUCUUCAGCUGACUGAGAAGAAAUCACGUGACUGCACUGCAAGUCAAAGCAAAUAAACGCGAGAGUAGUGAACAAGCACCAGACUUUGAAUUGGAUUUAAUUUCUAUUUUCUUUUAAAUAUUUUGAGCAUAUUGCAGUUUUACGUCUCUGGUGAACUGCAUCGACUUUUCCGAAACAGAUCGUUUUUACAGCUCUCUUGUCUGAAUGUUUAUUUUCGCUUUGUGUUUAACGUUAACGUACUCACAAAAUAUUCUGUUGCUGGACAGAAAUGCUUUUGGAUACAGAGGCGAUGUUUAUUACGACAGAAUAAGGAUUUGGGUUUUUUAUUCUUCAAUAAAUUAUUGCCCUAAAAAGUUCUGCAAUGGAGUUCACAGAUGAAGAGAAACUCUGGCUGCAAAGAUUAUCUGCUGAAAUACCUGAAGGAAAUGAACUCACUUCAAACGAAAAGCAGUUCUGGGAGAAAGCAAAGCCAGAGACUGAAUUUCUUGGCCAGUAUUUCCAGACAAUGGCCUCUAUACGAUUUGGACUGAAUGAUUUAGGCAGCACGGCCACAGCCAUGAAGAACCCUGUUCAUCAGAGAAGCUGCAUCGCUUCACCAUGUGGAUAAUCGCCAAACACCAAGAGGAGGACAUAUUUUCUUUUGGUUAUCUAACAUAACAUUCAGACUCCAAUAAUUCAAAUAUGAAUAAAAAAAUCAGCAUAUAAUGGUGAAAGCAGAGUAGCUUUUGGCACUUUGUAAUUAAGAUCGGUUUUGAUGAUCAUCUCCAGCAUUCUUACCUCAAUAACAAUUUAUUGGUGCCUGUCAGGUUUUGUUUUGUAAAGUAUGUACUACAAGAUGAUGUGACAACAGUGUAAAAUGUGUUUUCUCAGUUAAAGCUUCACUUUAAAAAAAUUCAAUAAAAAUCUUAUUUUAAGGCAACAAACUUCAGUUGUUUUAAGAUGACUCAACUUUCAACCCAAUUGCUGCACUUGACUCGAUUUAAGUUGAGUUAACUCAAAUGUCCUGAAGUUUGUUACCUUAACUUUAAGUUGAGUCAACUUUUUUACAGUGUAGUUCACCCCAAAAAUGAGUAUUUACUCGUUAUUUUCCCUACUCAAGUGGUUCUAAACUUUUUAAAUUUCUUUCUUCUGUUAAAGACAAAACAAAAUAUUCAGAAUGUUAGGAAAAAAUUGCCAUUGACAUCCAAAGAAGGAACAAAAAAUACUUCUUCAUACACUCUUCAUGGUGUCUUCCUUUGCGUUCGACAGAAGAAAGAAACUCAAACAGGUUUGGAACAACAGGGGCAGUAAAUAUGACUUUUUUUUUGGGGGGGUGGACUAUUUCUGCAUGCAUGCUCUUUUAUUGUAGUAAUUGUAAUAAUUUAUUGUAGUAAUAUUGCUUAAUUUUAUUUUUUCUUUGGGAUGUAAAAAUGGUGCUCUGUUCUGAUGCACAAAGGUGAACCUAAAAGACAGAACUUUGGUUUUAACAUGCCUAGGGAUAAAAAGCAUCUCUACCUCACUCCUAUUACAGUAAAUGCAGUAUAUUUAAUAUACAAUCUUUACACACACACACACACACACACACACACACACACACACACCAAAAUAACAAUAUAGAAGAGUACUUUUAGUGUACAUUGUUGUUUAUUUUGAUGAUCUGUAUAUGAGAAGCUUUUACCUAAAUACCUGUGCACGAUCUGCAUUUCUACAUUCAUCAUAAAAUGAUUAAGCUGUGAUUGUGUACGCACGAGUAUGUAUAAUGUAUAAUAUAUGGAUUAAUAAAAAAUAUAUAACAAUUAGUUGUAAAAUCCAUUUCUGAUUUCUGAGCAUUUUGUUUUUUUUUAGUUUAGUUUGGUUUACUCUGACCCAU